rnacentral:lncRNA from 1 species
CUCAGAGGUUUUUUUUAUCGUUCGGCUGCUGUCCUGUUGACAUAUGUAAAAUAUCUCCAAUAUUAAAAGUCUCUGGAUCAAAGUGGGUGCCAUAUUACCUAUUAUUUUUUUCUAAAAAGUGCUUUGUAUAUAGAAAUAAGAAGAUGAGGUAUGAGUGCCAAAUGAGACAUCUUUCCAACAAAGACAUAAUUUAGUAAAGUAAGCAGUCAUAGGUCCAAUGCUGAAAAGUAAGCUAUUAAUGACCCAAAAAUUACUUGUGUAAAACAAUCCAAACAAAAAAAAAAAAAAAAAAAAAAAAAAAAAAAAACGGCCCAAUUAAAUACAUAAAAGGACAAGAAAUCUAUCCCAUCAAAAAAAAAUAUAUAUUGUAUAGGAGCCUGUAUUUCAGUGGUUGUCGUUUGUUUAUGUGUUACAUAUUUGUUUUUCGUUCAUUUUUUUUUAUAUAAUUAAGGCCGUUAGUUUUCUCGUUUGAAUUGUUUUACAUUGUCAUAUCGGAGACUUUUAUAGCUGACUAUGCUGUAUGCUCAUUGUUGAAGGCCGUACGGUGAUCUAUAAAUGUUAAUUC